UGCCAGCUCUGAUGAGGCUCGGUGACAAAGAUUACGUAAGGAAAUCAGAGACCACUUCAUAUAGUGUUCCACAUACAGCUCGGGCAUCACAUGACUCGGUCACCUCUGCCCUUGUUAUUCAGUGUGCAGCCACCUCCUCUGUAACAGACAGUUAAACCUCUUCCUAAAGGCCCUCCUCCAUUUUAUCUUGGCUACGAUCAUGAUGUCCAUGAGUGGCAGUGUUCACAUCUGAGGCUAUAAAAGGCUCACUAUGACAACGAUGGCUCCUCUGUCAAUUUUUCUUUUAUCAGCAAGUCCCUGUCAGAUACUUCUACUGUUCCACAAAGGUCUUUAAAGCUCAGUGGUGAAGGACUAACAAACCCCAGAAUGCCGUUUCAAGGCUUUUUUGGAAACUGAGUCCUUUCACAGAGAACUUCCGACCACAAAGAAAUGGGUGGAGGAAAAAAGACGAAAUCUUCGUUUUCUGAAAUGGAAAGAAUACAAAAAUAAAUGUUCUGCUAUAAAUAUUCUUUUACAUGUAGUAAACAUUUAACUUGUACAUGUACCCCUUUCACCACCAGGCUCAAAGCUCCGUCUCAAGCUCUCUCAGCUCCGUCCUUGGCUCUCCUAAGGUAAUUACCACAGACACGGCAGAGCUAACUUUAGCUUAGCUUAGCUCUCUCGACUCUGUCCUCGGCUCUCCUACGGUAAUUACCACAGACACGACAGUGCUAACUUUAGCUUAGCUUAGCUUAGCUCUCUCGACUCUGUCCUCGGCUCUCCUGAGGUAAUUACCACAGACUCGGCAGUGCUAACUUUAACUUAGCUUAGAUCUCUCAGCUUAGUCCUCGGCUCUUCUGAGGUAAUUACCACAGACUCUGCAGUGCUAACUUUAGCUUAGCUUAGCUUAGCUCUCUUAGCUCAGUCCUCAGCUCUCCUUAGGUAAUUACCACAGACUCAGCAGUGCUAACUUUAGCUUAGCUCUCUUAGCUCAGUCCUUGGCUCUCCUGAGGUAAUUACCACAGACUCUACAGUGCUAACUUUAGCUUAGCUUAGCUUAGCUCUCUCAGCUCAGUCCUUGGCUCUCAUGAGGUAAUUGCAACAGUCACGGCAGUGCUAACUUUAGCUUAGCUUAUCUCUCUCAGCUCAGUCCACAGCUUUCCUGAGGUAAUUACCACAGACACAGCAGUGCUAAUUUUAGCUUAGCUUAGCUUAGCUCUCUCAGCUCAGUCCUCGGCUCUCCUGAGGUAAAUACCACAGACUUUGCAGUCUUAACUUUAGCUUAGCUCUCUCAGCUCCGUCCUAGGCUCUCCUGAGGUAAUUACUACAGACUUGGCAGUGCUAACUUUAGCUUAGCUCUCUCAGCUCCUUCCUCGGCUGUCCUGAGGUUAUUACCACAGACACGGCAGUGCUAGCUUUAGCUUAGCUUAGCUCUCUCAGCUCAGUGCUUGGCUCUCCUGAGGUAAUUACCACAGACUCGGCAGUGCUACCUUUAGCUUAGCUUUCUCAGCUCUGUCCUUGGCUCUCCUGAGGUAAUUAACACAGACACGGCAGUGCUAACUUUAGCUUAGCUUAGCUCUCUCAGCUCAGUCAUUGGCUUUCCUGAGGUAAUUACCACAGACUCAGUAGUGCUAACUUUAGCUUAGCUCUCUCAGCUCCAUCCUUGGCUCUCCUGAGGUAAUUACCACAGACUUGGCAGUGCUAACCUUAGCUUAGCGCUCUCAGCUCCAUCCUCGGCUCUCCUGAGGUAAUUACCACAGACACAUCAGUGCCAACUUUAGCUUAGCUUACCUUUGUACUCUCAGCUCCAUCCUCGGCUCUCCUGAGGUAAUUACCACAGACACAUCAGUGCCAAUUUUAGCUUAGCUUACCUUUGUACUCUCAGCUCAGUCCUUGGCUCGGGCAAUGGUGGCUCAACUGGUUAAUGCUCUGGGUUGUUGAUCGGAGGAUCGGGGUUCAAGGCCCAGCACUGAGCAAGGCCCUCAACCCUCCCUGCUCCAGGGGCACUGUAUCAUAGCUGCCCCUGCACUCUGACCCCAACAUUCUUAGUUGGGGUAUGUGAAGAAAAGAAUUCCACUGUGCUGUAAUGUAUAUGUAGCUAUAAUAAAUGCUUAUGUGCCCCAUUCUAUUCAUCUCUGUCCUCGGCUCUCCUGAGGUAAUUACCACAGACUCGGCAGUGAUAACUUUAUCUUUAUCUUUAACUUUACCUAUGCUCUCUCAGCUCCGUCCUCGGCUCUCCUGAGGUAAUUACCAGACUCGGCAGUGCUAACUUUAGCUUAGCUUAGCUCUCUCAGCUCCAUCCUGAGCUCUCCAGAGUUAAUUACCACAGACACGACAGAACAUGAACAUGACAGACCAGUGGCUGAAGUCAGUCAGGGACCACACUGACAGAAAUGUUGCACUACAGGCCCUCAGAACCACAGUCCCCACAGGCUGGCCAGAUGAGAAAGGAAAAACACCACACAUUAUCAGAGACUUUUGGCCUUAUCGAGAGGAAAUAAGUGCACAAGAUGGUAUCUUGUACAGAGGUCAGAAAGUCAUUAAUCCCAAAUCACUGCACCCAGAGAUGCUUAGGUGCAUUCAGUCAAGCCACAAAUGAGGGGAUGAAUGUUAUCAUCAAGCUCGUGAGAUGUUGUAUUGGCUUAGUAUUCAAACGGAAAUCAAAGACUUUGUGAGUAACUGUUUGACCUGCAACAAAUUUGCACACAACCAACAGAAGAAACGAUGAUGUCUCAUUACAAUCACACCAGGCCUUGGAAAAUUGUCACCAAGGACUUGAUCAGUCAUCGGCAUCAUCAUCAAUAUUUUAUUUGUGGAGCAUUUCUCAGGUUUUUAGAAGAUUGAACUGCUUUCUGACCUAUCUGCGGAGACAGUCAUCAGGCCCUGCAAGGCUCAGUUUGCUCCACAUGGCCACCCAGACAGAAUGAUUACAGAUAAUCUAUUAAUAAUUGCUUUUGUGAAUACAGUCUCUGAAAUUCGCUCUCGUGUGUCUGCCUUUUAUUUUGAUGCCUUUGUGAGACCCAAACACACCUCUCAUACACACUCAUAUUUUGUGUAUUUGUCCUGCAGUGUUUUGUAUUGUCUUUUGUCUCACACUGUUUGCACUAGGUUGUACACGAUGCAGUUUAAGUGUCAUGAACAACUUACUUUAAAUCCUUAGCUCUGUGUUGUUUCAUGUAGCACCAUGGUCAUGGACAAAGGUUUCAUUUCACUGUGCACUGCAUCAGAUAUAUAUUGUUGAAAUGACAACGAAAGCUUUUUGACUUGACUUAAUUUCUGAUGAUAAUUCCUGAUCCUGUAGGUGGCACUGUGCACAGCUGACUGUGUUGCUGACUGUGCACAGCUCAUCAUUCUACAUGUUAACAUUUAUGUAUGUGAAACCAUUUGAAAUAAGUGACUUUAAGUGAAUUUAAUUAUGUAAUAAUUAUGUUGAUGUCUGUUUGUAAACAAUACUAAACAAUAAUAUAUUCUAAACAUAA